rnacentral:sRNA from 1 species
AGUCCACUAUAUAUAUAAUAGUUAAGCCCAUACGGACAGGCGGGACUGCUGCCGG